rnacentral:tRNA from 1 species
AGUCAGGAUGGCCGAGUGGUCUAAGGCGCCAGACUCAAGUUCUGGUCUUCGAGAGAGGGCGUGGGUUCAAAUCCCACUUCUGACAUA